GACGAACGCUGGCGGCGUGCUUAACACAUGCAAGUCGAACGAUGAUCUCCCGCUUGCGGGGGCGUUUAGUGGCGAACGGGUGAGUAAUACGUGAGUACCCUGCCCUUGACUCUGGGAUAAGCCUGGGAAACCGGGUCUAAUACUGGAUACUACUUCCUGCCGCAUGGUGGGGGGUGGAAAGGGUUUUACUGGUUUUGGAUGGGCUCACGGCCUAUCAGCUUGUUGGUGGGGUAAUGGCUCACCAAUGCGACGAAGGGUCGCCGGCCUGUGAGGGUGACCGGCGGCACUGGGACUGAGACACGGCCCAGACGCCGACUAGAGGCAGCAGUGGGGAAUAUUGCACAAGGGGCGGAAGCCUGAUGCAGCGACGCCGCGUGUGGGAUAACGGCUUUCUUGUUGUAAACCUCUUUCAGCAGGGAAGAAGCCUCAAGUGACGGUACCUGCAGAAGAAGCGCCGGCUAACUACGUG
rnacentral:rRNA from 1 species